UACAGAGGUGGCAAGCGUUGUUCGGAAUUACUGGGCGUAAAGGGCGCGUAGGCGGCUCUUUAAGUCCCGUGUGAAAGCCCCCGGCUCAACCGGGGAACUGCACGGGAAACUGGAAGGCUUGAGUUCGGGAGAGGGAAGCGGAAUUCCGGGUGUAGCGGUGAAAUGCGUAGAUAUCGGAAGGAACAUCAGUGGCGAAAGCGACUUCCUGGACCAAUACUGACGCUCAUGUGCGAAAGCGUGGGGAGCAAACAGG
rnacentral:rRNA from 1 species